AGAAAAUGAGCGAACGUACUUGGUAUUGUAACGUACACUCGGACAGUAUUAGACACGUGUAGUGGACACACGCGUUAUCGGGACAAACCGUCACAAACGAUCACAUGCUAUAAUUUCGUCGGUAAACAGGGCAAGGCGAACGCUACGUACUGUAUUAUUUUUCGAAAAAAGGUUGCGAAAGCGGAACAUCGAGCUGCGACUUUGUGUACCUUCAGCGCGCGUGUGUGCGCGUGCGAAUGAGUGUAUACCACAUUCGUAUACCAAACCCUCUCGGCGCUUUUUAACAUACUGGCUUACCAUAUAUUUAUAUCGUUCUGUAAAACAACAACAACAACGGUGGUAUCGACACGUAUGUAUUCUACACGCCUUGUCAUGUAAUUGUGCCAUAAGAACAAAUCGACGAAGUAUACCUAACAUUAAUUUUUGCUGAAAUCGAUGACAUUCGACGGCUAAUGCGACAUGUGAUUAUUACAGAAUAGUUAAAUACAUUCUGUGCUGGGAUCUUAAAAUAAAACAAACCAUGAACUAAGUAUAAACAGUUGUUUAAAAUGUUCACGUAAUGAUUGCUGGGCACUCGAAACGAUGAGUUACAUUCCUAAAGGAACUCGGUUGAUGCAAGAUCAGAACGAAAAUUUGAUGCGAUAUAGUUUACAUUAAUGUUCAAUAACAACUGUGGAUCGGGUCGAGUAGAUGGUUGUCGAUUGUAAGAGAUUUUAUGAAGAUUUAGUAGGUAAAGUAAAUGUUGUGACGUAUCGAUAGUUUAGUAAAUAUGUUGUAUAUUUUCUUACGUUACAAAUUUAUAUAAA